UUGGAGUGUAGCUACUUUAACAGAUGG
rnacentral:piRNA from 1 species